rnacentral:rRNA from 1 species
CCUACGGGAGGCAGCAGUGGGGGAUAUUGCACAAUGGGGGGAACCCUGAUGCAGCGACGCCGCGUGGGUGAAGAAGCGCCUCGGCGCGUAAAGCCCUGUCAGCAGGGAAGAAAAUGACGGUACCUGAAGAAGAAGCCCCGGCUAACUACGUGCCAGCAGCCGCGGUAAUACGUAGGGGGCAAGCGUUAUCCGGAUUUACUGGGUGUAAAGGGGGCGCAGACGGCGAUGCAAGCCAGGAGUGAAAGCCCGGGGCCCAACCCCGGGACUGCUCUUGGAACUGGGGGGCUGGAGUGCAGGAAGGGCAGGCGGAAUUCCUGGUGUAGCGGUGAAAUGCGUAGAUAUCAGGAGGAACACCGGUGGCGAAGGCGGCCUGCUGGACUGGAACUGACGUUGAGGCCCGAAAGCGUGGGGAGCGAACAGGAUUAGAUACCCGUGUAGUC